GUUUUCAGGAAGUGAAACCAGAUAAAAGAAACGGGUCAUUUUAAAGUUAAUUUAUUUUUGAAAAGUUGAUUAAACAAAAUGGCGGCUAGACUUUUCAUAUUCGUCUGUGUUUUCUUGUUCAUUACAUUAGCUCUCUGUCAACUGCCCAGCGUCCUUGACCAGUGCAAGACCCGCUGUCUCAGUGCUGUUAGCCAUUACGUCAUAGUGGAAUCCAGGCCACAAUUUCAAGAAGGAUGUAAUCAAUACUGCCAAGUUUACAUCACUGAACACCUAAAGUGAUGUCCAAGUUUGAGGAUAAAUCACACAUUAAAUAAAGAUUAACAACUGAGGCUGCUUUCCAAUAAUACCAAAUGUGCUGUCUUCAGUUGCUAUUUUCGUUUGUUUGAUUUUUUUUUCUAAUUUAUUAAAGUUACAAAAAUAUGUAAAAGAUCUCAUGAGUACCAAAGCUUUUAUUAUAGAAAGCAAAUUAGUUUUAUGUUUUUAUUGUCAGUGCACUUAAAAUCGG